rnacentral:rRNA from 1 species
AUUGAACGCUGGCGGCAGGCCUAAUACAUGCAAGUCGAACGAGUGGCGGACUGGUGAGUAAUGUCUGGGAACCUGGCUGAUGGAGGGGUAUAACUACGGGAAACCUUAGCUAAUACCGCUUAACAUACGUUGGGCCCAGAUGGGAGUAGCUAGUCGGUGGGGUAACGGCUCACCUAGGCGACGAUGCCUAGCUGGUCUGAGAGGAUGACCGGCCACACUGGAACUGAGACACGGGCCAGACUCCUACGGGAGGCAGCAGUGGGGAAUAUUGCACAAUGGGCGAAAGCCUGAUGCAGCCAUGCCGCGUGUAUGAAGAAGGCCUUCGGGUUGUAAAGUACUUUCGGCGGGGAGGCGUUACCCGAAGAGGAAGCACCGGCUAACUCCGUGCCAGCAGCCGCGGUAAUAC